rnacentral:rRNA from 1 species
UGGGGAAUUUUGGACAAUGGGCGAAAGCCUGAUCCAGCAAUGCCGCGUGUGUGAAGAAGGCCUUCGGGUUGUAAAGCACUUUUGUCCGGAAAGAAAUCCUUGGCUCUAAUACAGUCGGGGGAUGACGGUACCGGAAGAAUAAGCACCGGCUAACUACGUGCCAGCAGCCGCGGUAAUACGUAGGGUGCAAGCGUUAAUCGGAAUUACUGGGCGUAAAGCGUGCGCAGGCGGUUUGCUAAGACCGAUGUGAAAUCCCCGGGCUCAACCUGGGAACUGCAUUGGUGACUGGCAGGCUAGAGUAUGGCAGAGGGGGGUAGAAUUCCACGUGUAGCAGUGAAAUGCGUAGAGAUGUGGAGGAAUACCGAUGGCGAAGGCAGCCCCCUGGGCCAAUACUGACGCUCAUGCACGAAAGCGUGGGGGAGCAAAACAGGAUUAGAUACCCUGGUAGUCCACGCCCUAAAACGAUGUCAACUAGUUGUUGGGGAUUCAUUCCUUAGUAACGUAGCUAACGCGUGAAGUUGACCGCCUGGGGAGUACGGUCGCAAGAUUAAAACUUAAAUGAAUUGACGGGGUCAUAGCUGUUUCCU